UGGCUCGAAGGGCUGGAAAGGCCUAUUCUGUGCUAUAUCUCAAUAAAAUAAAAAUAAUAAUGCAGCCAAGCUUGUCCAAAUUGGCAAGGGGUUGGCUGUAAUAAUUCUGCAAUAUGGAGCUGGGGUUCACAGGUUAUUAAGGAUCCAAAGGAUAAUUUGAUUCUAUUUUUCCACUGCUGCAUACCUGAUGUAUUAUGGAAAUGUACCACAGAUAGCAAAAGUGCUCACAUACCCUUAACUCCUGGUGGAGUCGUCAGGGCGCCGUUACAAGCUUUUUGCACCGAUCUUUUUGGUGAUUGCUCAUCAUACGGUGUGUCUUGGGCAUCUGAAACCUGGCAGAAUCCAGCCGGCCGGAUUCGAACUCGGGAGCCUUCACUCUGAAGCCCAGCGCUGAUGCCACUACGCAACCAGCCGGCUAUUUAGUGACAACACAACCUAAGGAUUGGUGGGAGCAGCCCACAAGACCCGCCACACAGCUGGAACCAACAUGGCAUGCCAACAACGUUCAGCAGGCAAUCACCAACAAAACACAACAGCAACAGCAAAACAAGCCCCUUUCUUCCCGUAUACAAGAGAAAAGAACCACUUCCUGCAGACCCAGAGUCAACUCCUACAACCACCACAGAGGAGGCCUCAGAACCUGAGAUUGUUUUACAGCCACUCGUCUUGCCUGCCAAGCAGAGCAACCACCUCACCACCAACAUCCAGGGGAAAGAUAUCCUACAAGAGUAAGAAAUCCUCCAUAUUGAA